GUUAUUGCAUGUUUUGGGCUCCCUGUGAUAUGUUUUAUAAUACUGUAUUUCUAUUCCAGUGAUAAUUAUAUUAACCAUUGUGUUCAGUAAUCAUAUCACAGGCAGAGGGGAGGAUUUUGUGUGGGAGUGUCUGUGUGUAUUGUACGGAUUGAUUGGUUGCAUUUCAAAACUCUGUGGGCAGUACUAUGUUUGUGGAUUGUGAAUAAAAGAGGCUGUAUGUGCCAGUACAGUAAGUUCUGCUUGACCUCAAAACGAAGUGUCGCCUCGUUAUUGGGGGCAUUGG